rnacentral:lncRNA from 1 species
GUUGGGAUUGAUUUUGGGAGUUUUGGUUCCAACAGUUUAGGAAUUAGGGGCCAAAAAAGGGCCCAAAUAAGCAUUAUUCUUGGUUUUCGCACAAUAACUUUAGUAUAAGUAAAAAUAGAAAUCAAUGAAAUUUAAACACAAGGUUUAUGACCACAAAAGGAAGGUUGGGAUUGAUUUUGGGAGUUGAGGUCCCAACAGUGUAGGAAUUAGGGGCCAAAAAGGGGCCCAAAUAAGCAUUAUUCUUGGUUUUCGCACCAUAACUUUAGUAUAAGUAAAUAGAAAUCUAUGAAAGUUAAACACAAGGUUUAUGACCAUAAAAGGAAGG